UCAAGGGGGCACCUAGCGUGGAUUUACCAAAGUGUGGAUUAACGAAGUUAAAAACCAGUUGAACAAACAUUGAACUACAUCAAGUAAAAGAUCACUCGCUCCAACUCACAAUUGCAGUACUUUCUUCGGGCAGCACCCACCCUAUGGAAUGCCCUCCCAUGCAUGAUGAUAAUAUUCUCCUCUAGCCUCCAAACUUUCAAGCGUUCCCUGAAAACUCACCUCUUCAGGCAAGCCUAUGAAAUUCCUGAACCAUCCACACGACCUUCUGAAGCAUUCAUAUCUAAUUACAUCUCAUCUGGACUGUCUUUGCAAUCUGGUGGGACCGCUAUGCUAUAGAUAGUGCCUAUCAUUGUGUAUCCUUCCUAAUUUCCCUAUAGAUUGUAAGCUUGCAAGCAGGGCCUUCCUACCUAUAUGUCUGCCUCUAAUUACCCAGUUUGUCUUACCACUGUUGUUUCCAAUUGAAAAGAGCAAUGGAAUAUGCUGCUCUAUAUAAGAAACUGUAAAUAAAUAAGCAGCUUCUGCCCAUGUACUAGAGAGAGAGGUGAGAGCCGCUGUCCCCAUCCAGCCAGGUUUCUGGCACCUGUGCACCAGAGGCGUGUGUGCACAUGUGCAUUCCCACAGCUUCUAUGGGCUGCAUCAGCUGCAGCCCAUUUAACAGGAAGACAGCUUUCUGCUUAUUGCAGCCCGGCCAGGCAGUCUCGGAGGGAGGAUACACUGUCCAGUAGUACUGCCUAUCCUGCGGGUGACUGGCAGGUAGGACUUCCAAUAGGAAGCCACUGCCAGUCACAGUGAAUCCAGUGCAGUUACAGACUGCAUCUGGCUUCCCUGACACUGGUGAAUUUUACCUGGGGGGCACUGCAGUCCAUAGGCAAAAUCCGCCACUGAUGGUAAGCCAAAUUAUGCACCAUCUGUACCUCCUUUUCUCCAUGUCUAGCCUUUUGCACUUACUUGCCGACCUGGCUGCCCCGUCUUCUGGGAGGGGGCGUGGCUAGCAGGUGCUGGGUUUCCCAGGGUCGUGGUCGACUGGAUGUGGGCAUGGCCUUGAAUUUGUGGAGUGCCGUAGAGCUGGGGGCAGGACUACGAUGACCCAAAUCAGCGCAAAUCGCAUCAUCGGCCCUCAGCACCACCCACUUUUACUAAAAGCCAAAGAGGGGUGCAGGAGGUGCGAGCCAGAUCCUGCGAGUCACGUGCCUGCCUUUCCAGGGGGCCAAGAGGGUCACCCAAUUUUCAGGAACAUCCUGCCCUUUCUGGAAGGGUAGGGAACUCUGCUUCUGCACAUGCCCAUCCAGACUAGGGAAGUGUAAUGUCUGGAUAGGAGAUCUGUGUUAUUUUCAUUUGUCUGGCUAUUAAACUUUUUUGGAAGCUAGUUAGCUCCUGUCAGACAGCUUCCAAUCUCCUUGAAGCAGCCAUACUCAUGUGCUGCAAUUACUGUAAAUGGGAGACAGUAUAUGGCUAUUUUUGAAAGACACAUACACAGUAAAUACUUACAUGGACCAUGUUGUUGUUAACUGAAAUUGGAUUCUUGUUGCUGCCAACCAUGUUAUAAUUCUAAAUGGAAAAGGAAACCGUAAUCAACCUGCUAGUUGCAACACAUAGAGGCAGCAAAUAGCCCCAUUCAUUUUCUCCUUGCUUUAAGAAUAACUGAGCCUGGGUCCCUGCAAGUCCUGUAUUCUCUGAAAUCAUAAUCACAGCUGUGCUACAGCAGUGGUAUGAAUCCUUCUCCAGCAGCAGCCCUCCAUUCAUUCCCAGUUUUUCAAUCACACUAGCGAUAGGGCCAGGAGAAAAUCAUUGCAUUUUUUGUCCUUUUUUUAAGCUUUUGUUUAAGAAUUAGACAACAUCGCGCUAAAUAAAGAAGUCAGUCCGCUGUGUAACUUGUAAAUAAAUCACUGGCUUCACUUA